rnacentral:rRNA from 1 species
AUUAACGCGAAGAACCUUACCAAGGCUUGACAUGGGCCGGAUCGGGCUGGAAACAGUCUUUCCCUUCGGGGCCGGUUCACAGGUGGUGCAUGGUUGUCGUCAGCUCGUGUCGUGAGAUGUUGGGUUAAGUCCCACAACGAGCGCAACCCUCGUUCUAUGUUGCCAGCACGUUAUGGUGGGAACUCAUGGAAUACUGCCGGGGUCAACUCGGAGGAAGGUGGGGAUGACGUCAAAUCAUCAUGCCCCUUAUGUCUUGGGCUUCACGCAUGCUACAAUGGCCGGUACAAUGGGCUGCGAUACCGUGAGGUGGAGCGAAUCCCAAAAAGCCGGUCCCAGUUCGGAUUGAGGUCUGCAACUCGACCUCAUGAAGUCGGAGUCGCUAGUAAUCGCAGAUCAGCAACGCUGCGGUGAAUACGUUCCCGGGCCUUGUACACACCGAAU